rnacentral:rRNA from 1 species
GCGCGAAAACUUUACAAUGCGGGAAACCGUGAUAAGGAAACCCCCGAGUGCCAGCAUAGGCUGGCUGUCCGCCAGUGUAAAUAACUGGUGAAGAAAGGGCCGGGCAAGACCGGUGCCAGCCGCCGCGGUAAUACCGGCGGCUCGAGUGGUGGCCACUAUUACUGGGCUUAAAGGGUCCGUAGCUUGAUAUGCAAGUCUCUUGAGAAAUCCGCCGGCUUAACUGGCGGGCGUUCAGGGGAAACUGCAUUUCUAGGGACCGGGAGAGGUGAGAGGUACUGCCGGGGUAGGAGUGAAAUCCUGUAAUCCCGGUGGGACCACCUAUAGCGAAGGCAUCUCACCAGAACGGGUCCGACAGUGAGGGACGAAAGCUGGGGGAGCAAACCGGAUUAGAUACCCGGGUAGUCCCAGCCGUAAACGAUGCUCGCUAGGUGUCUGGGAUGGUGCGACCGUUUCAGGUGCCGCAGGGAAGCCGUGAAGCGAGCCACUGGGAAGUACGGCCGCAAGGCUGAAACUUAAAGGAAUUGGCGGGGA